rnacentral:rRNA from 1 species
UACGGGGGGGGCAAGCGUUGUCCGGAAUUAUUGGGCGUAAAGAGCUCGUAGGCGGUCUGUUGCGUCCGCUGUGAAAACUCGGGGCUUAACCCCGAGCCUGCAGUGGAUACGGGCAGACUAGAGGUAGGUAGGGGAGAAUGGAAUUCCCGGUGUAGCGGUGAAAUGCGCAGAUAUCAGGAGGAACACCCGUGGCGAAGGCGGCUCUCUGGGACGGUACUGACGCUGAGACGCGAAAGCGUGGGGAGCGAACAGG